GUUUUAAUUCAGCUUCAAGUGGAAAACAGACGAUUGCAGCAAGAGUUACGAUUACGGAAAGUAAAAUCUGCUAAUAAUAAGGCACCAUUGACAGCUUCACAAGGCUCUGCUGGAAAUGUUUCAAAAGAUCGUAACGGCAAGACCCUUUUAGACGACGAUCGUUUCUUGGAGAGUAUUGAAGCGUCAUUUAAACAGUUUUAUCAGUUCCUUGAUUUACUGAAAGGCAA